UGAAUACGAGAUGCUACGGCGUCGAAGCAGUCUAUGUCAUACUUCCAAGAAAAGCUCGCACUGUCAUAAACAAAUAAUGCCUGUACCAUAACCGACACAGGUGGGUAGGUAGAGUAUACUAAGGGGCGCGAGAUAACUCUCUCUAAGGAACUCGGCAAAAUGACUCCGUAACUUCGGGAGAAGGAGUGCCUUAUUUAUAAGGUUGCAAUAACAAGAUCCAAGCAACUGUUUAUCAAAAACACAGGUCUCCGCUAAGUCGUAAGACGAUGUAUGGGGGCUGACGCCUGCCCAGUGCCAGAAGGUUAAAGAAGUUGGUUAGCAUUCGCGAAGCUGAUAACUGAAGCCCUGGUGAACGGCGGCCGUAACUAUAACGGUCCUAAGGUAGCGAAAUUCCUUGUCGGGUAAGUUCCGACCCGCACGAAAGGCGUAUGAUUUGGAUACUGUCUCGGAGAGGGGCUCGGUGAAAUAGACUUGUCUGUGAAGAUGCGGACUACCUGCACCAGGACAGAAAGACCCUAUGAAGCUUUACUGUAACUUGAGAUUGAAAUUGGACUUUACUUGCGCAGUAUAGGUGGGAGGCGUUGAUAAUAUUCUUGCGGGAUUAUUUGAGCCAUCAGUGAGAUACCACUCUUGUAAUGUUAGAUUUCUAACUUUGUAUCAUUAUCUGGUCAAAGGACAGUUUCAGGCGGGCAGUUUGACUGGGGCGGUCGCCUCCUAAACGGUAACGGAGGCGCACAAAGGUUUCCUCUGAACGGGUAGAAAUCGUAUCUAGAGUGUAAAGGCAUAAGGAAGCUUGACUGUGAGACCUACAAGUCGAGCAGGGACGAAAGUCGGUCUUAGUGAUCUGACGGUGCUGAGUGGAAAGGCCGUCACUCAACGGAUAAAAGUUACUCUAGGAUAACAGGCUGAUCUCCCCCAAGAGUUCACAUCGACGGGGAGGUUUGGCACCUCGAUGUCGGCUCAUCGCAUCCUGGGGCGGUAGUACGUCCCAAGGGUUGGGCUGUUCGCCCAUGAAAGCGGUACGCGAGCUGGGUUCAGAACGUCGUGAGACAGUUCGGUCCAUAUCCGGUGUAGGCGUUAGAAUAUUGAGAGGAGCCUUCUUUAGUACGAGAGGACCGAGAAGGACAUACCUCUGGUGUACCAGUUAUCGUGCCAACGGUAAACGCUGGGUAGCUAUGUAUGGAGUGGAUAACCGCUGAAAGCAUCUAAGUGGGAAGCCCACCUCAAGAUAAG
rnacentral:rRNA from 1 species